GUUAUUUUUUUAAUAUCAAAGCAUGAUAUUAAUUCUUCGUGUUCUUCUGAAUUUUGGAGAAACCUUCUGAAUUUGGGGGAGAAAUCUUCUGAAUUUUUAUCUUUAGAGGUUGGCAGGUAUGGAUUUACCACCAGAGUCUACCCUGGGGCAUCAUCGAAUAAAUCUAAAAAUGCUGUUACCAACUGUUCCAGGUUCAGUCUCUCAUGGGUCACUGGUGGCUGGACUUCUUUUCCCACCAGCUGAUUCAUUUCCAGUUGCAAAGUAUUUUCCUGAAAAUUAGUUUUUGCUCUUUCUGCCUUUAAAAUAUCCAUCCCCCAAUAUUACAUUAGCCUGUAGAUUUUUCACUGCAAAGAAAACAUCUUUCUGGUGUUCAUUUUUUACCUGCACAUAUAAAUGUUACUUUCUCUGUGCAUUUACACUGUUUACCUUAGGCCGCAAUCACUCCCGUUUGUGCGACGCCAAACACUAUUUACCAUUUAAAGUUUUUCCUCAAACUUUUUCUACCAGGAAAUUACUUUGUGACCUUGUGCUCAGUAAUGCAUCUGCUGGUACAUUAUUUAACAGAAUUUGAAUCACUGGGUGGGACAAAUUUUCUAUGAAUAGUGUAUUUAAUUGAAUUUGAAAGAAAUUAUUUUUCUCUCCGGGGUAGCUGUACUUUCUGUAUUUCAGUAUUCCUGACCAGUUUAAAGGCUUAGCACCUUCCCCCAGUUUCCUCUUUUGUGAUUUAUUUUGGUACCAGCCACUAGCAAAUGAAAGUUUCUUCUAGUUAUCAAAACAUCUGUUGCUAUCAAACCUUGGAUUUCCUUCUGCUACAGAUCUACAAAAAUGUCUGCUCAUAUCCUACUGUGCAUAUGCUCAUUGAUACUCACUUACUUUUGAAUUUCACUGCUAGCUCAUUUAAAUAUUCUAGUGUAUCCAAGUUCCAUAAUUCAACAUAAUCCUGAAUUUGAGACAAUAACCUUGGCAAUAAGAUUUGUAUGGUCUUUGCUUCAGAUUUCUUCCCAUAUAGUAUGGUAACUACUUGUAUAUUCCUCAAUAUAAACUCACUUAACUCUUUCACCUUAGUUAGAUAUAUCUUCCAAACAGUUCCGCUUCUGAUUUUACUCUUUCUUUCACCACUGGGGAAUGAUUUCUCAAAGGUGAUUUUAAAUAUUUUGAACCUUAGAUUCCCAGUGCCUGCAUCACUCAACAAAAAUUUACUGAUGCUUUUGUACCAACUCAGUUGCUGUCCUUGAAGCACUGCAGUUGCUAUUGUGACCUUAUGUAAUUUUGCAAUCAGGAAAAAGUAGAAAGUGCAUCUCUAAAUGUUCCAAAAAUGUCACUGACAAACUUCUAACAUCGAAUAUAAUGGCUGGUUUUAUCAAAGCUCACAUAGUGUCUAGGAUUAACCCAAAUCCUUCCAGACUUCCUGAUGGAGCCUGCAGUCUUCGGAGGGGACAGACUAAAUGUUCUUUGUUUUGUGAUGUGAUGCUUCAUUUUUUUUAGCAUCAUUUGGAGGGUUGUACUACUUGAUUUAUUAAUGGUAUUUUAGUGUAAUAGCUCUUACAGAGGCGAAGCAACCUAUCGCUACAUUUGGAAACAGUGACAAGUCUUGAGAAUGUGAAAAUAACUGUUUGAUUUAAACAAAAUUUAGAACAUAAGUCUUGUGCUACAAUUUCCAAAACUGUUGGGGAUUCAAAAUAAAAUAGAACAGUCCAAAUUAAAUCUAAUGUUGAAGAGCAGUCAAGGACUACACAAUUAAAUACUACUAGAGACUGUCUUAUUAACUCUACACGAGUUUUAGAAUCAAAGUACUGGCAGCAAGAAAUCAAAAAGCUGAAUAAGUGCAAAUAUUAGAGCUGACUUCAAACUAGCAUAUGGCGUAUAUGCGAUACCAGAAACACACUAUCUCAAAUUCCAAAACCUCAGUUUAGUACUCAUUACUGAUUUGUAUUCUUGUAAGGUUUACAUAAAGGUGAAGUUAUAGUAAAAAAGAUAUUAUAAAUAACUGAUUAAUUAACAUAAGAUACCUAAUGAUAUGAAAGAAAAAAAUGUUUUCAUCUGGGACAUAGAUGAAACAUAGAGAAACCUGAAAGAUUUAGGUUUUACAAUCCACCAUUUUCUUCUUUAACUCUUUCAUAUAUUAAUGAAAUUAAAUUAUGCAUAAAAAUCAUACAUUACAAGUAAGAGUAAAAACAUGAAAUGAUAGAAAUAUAUUAGCAAAGUUAUAAGCCGCCUUAAAUGUUUUGAAAUUCUUCAGAGUUUCUAUCAAGACUAGUAAGCUUCUAAUUUUUUAAGGAAUUGAAUCAGCAAAAUAGACUAGAAAUCAGAUAGAAAAUAAUUUUGACAGAAAAAAAAUUAAAGACUGUCUUGAAAUUACUAACAUUGGAAGUGAUAAAUGAAAUAGUGCUCUCUGAAAAGAAAAGAUUAAUUUGGAUUAUUGCCUGCAAAUUUUCCAGAUCACUGGUAUUUUGUGAAAGCUGGUCUGAUCAAGGUUUAGUGCAACAUGCAUGGUUUCAUAAUAUUCCCAAAUGAAGUUGGAUCCUUACUCAGUUAUUGAUUUUGAGUCUUUAGGUUUUCUAGUUUCAUAAUAUUCCCAAAUGAAGUUGGAUUAACUCAGCUUUGCUCAGUUAUUGAUUUUAUAUCUUUAGGAUUUUUAGUAAGUUUAUUUCUUUUAUUUCUUCCUUAAUUAAUUUUAUUAAACAAAGAAAUGUUUUGUCUCUGAUGUUGUGACAAGAAAAGAAAUUUAUAAGUAUGUAAAUGUAGUACAUUGCGAUUUGAAAAAAAAAGAUUUAAUUAAAUUGUCAGGUGUUAAAAGGUAUUAUGUGUAAAAAGUCAG
rnacentral:lncRNA from 1 species